UAAUACCGGAUAAAAAGCUACUUUCGCAUGAAAGAAGUUUAAAAAGGCGGCGUAAGCUGUCGCUAAAGGAUGGACCUGCGAUGCAUUAGCUAGUUGGUAAGGUAACGGCUUACCAAGGCGAUGAUGCAUAGCCGAGUUGAGAGACUGAUCGGCCACAUUGGGACUGAGACACGGCCCAAACUCCUACGGGAGGCAGCAGUAGGGAAUUUUCCACAAUGGACGCAAGUCUGAUGGAGCAACGCCGCGUGAGUGAAGAAGGUUUUCGGAUCGUAAAGCUCUGUUGUUGGUGAAGAAGGAUAGAGGUAGUAACUGGCCUUUAUUUGACGGUAAUCAACCAGAAAGUCACGGCUAACUACGUGCCAGCAGCCGCGGUAAAU
rnacentral:rRNA from 1 species